rfam:Tncultured Termite group 1 bacterium phylotype Rs-D17 DNA, complete genome.
GGGUAGUUAGCUCAGUGGAAGAGCACUCGUUUCACACGCGAGUGGUGGCAGGUUCGAACCCUGCACUACACA